GCACAGAAAAUGUGGUUAAUAGUUAAUCAGGUGGAGGAGGACUAACAGGGGUGGGGAUGCAUCUGGGAGGGGUGCCCAGAGAGAGGGGGCUCCGAAGAGUAGAGGGUAGAGAAAAGAGCACAGAGGGCGGGGCGCCAGGCAGAGCCAAAGCUGGGGCUCAGGGAAGGGGACUCACCCUCCUUCUGCGCCAUGUCACUGCCUCUUGUUAAUGAUUCCCUGGCUGACCUCCUGG
rnacentral:lncRNA from 1 species